rnacentral:hammerhead_ribozyme from 1 species
GCACUGCUGAAGAGUCCCAUCAUAGGAUGAAACGGCCGUCUAGUGC